rnacentral:rRNA from 1 species
GAUGAACGCUAGCUACAGGCUUAACACAUGCAAGUCGAGGGGCAGCAUUAUCUUAGCUUGCUAAGAUAGAUGGCGACCGGCGCACGGGUGAGUAACACGUAUCCAACCUUCCGGUUACUUGGGGAUAGGCUUUCGAAAGAAAGAUUAAUACCCGAUGUUGCGUAUCUUUCUCCUGAAAGAUACGCCAAAGGAUUCCGGUAACCGAUGGGGAUGCGUUCCAUUAGGCAGUUGGCGGGGUAACGGCCCACCAACCUUACGAUGGAUAGGGGUUCUGAGAGGAAGGUCCCCCACAUUGGAACUGAGACACGGUCCAA